rnacentral:lncRNA from 1 species
AGGUUCAAUGUCUUGUCUGUCCUUUUGUGUCGUCCAAUAAAACAAUGUCUGUUGCUGGCUAAACAGACAUACAUGUCUAGUGCUGCUGUUCUAUUAUAUAUAUCUGGAGAUAACUGAUUCCAUAGUCGCCUGACGUUUGCUUGGCUCCAUACCUGCAAGUCAAAAGCUCUAAUAAGUUGUUUAUGUUUUUGAACCCAAAACAAGCUACAUCAGGAUAGCUCUCUAUACCCUAACCAUAAAAAACUACUAUUCCUAUGACUCCAUAAGGUAAAAGAAUUCUAAACUAAUUCGAAUUAGUGAGGAAACGGUAGCAUUUGUGAUAGAAAGGAAAGAAUCAUAUAGAUUUUUCAGUAAACUUGACCUUGAAAAGUGCUUAAUUUGCUGUUUUCUGGCAUUCCACUUUGAGAAAACUGGUUUCAAAUGACCUUCAAUAGCGGAGUUAUUUGGUUGAACUCAACAUAUCGAGGGAUCU